UCCCUUCCUCUCUGUAAAAAAUCAAUAAAAUAUGUUUUUUAAAAAGAAAAUAUUUUUCAUAAAAUAAAAUAUAAUUUAUAUUUGUUUUCUGGAUCAUUCUAAAAUUAACUUCUCCAACCAGGGAUAAAUUUCUAAUAUAACUUUGGGAGGAAAUGUAAUACCUUUUAAGGCAAAUGCUGACUUCUCAGACUCUGAAAAAAAAAAAAUAGAGGUAAACAUUCUACUAAAAGAAAACCUUAAGUCAUCU